UACAGAGGUCUCAAGCGUUGUUCGGAUUCAUUGGGCGUAAAGGGUGCGUAGGCGGCGCGGUAAGUCGGGUGUGAAAUCUCCGGGCUUAACUCGGAAAGGUCAACUGAUACUGUGCGACUAGAGUGCGGAAGGGGCAACUGGAAUUCUCGGUGUAGCGGUGAAAUGCGUAGAUAUCGAGAGGAACACCUGCGGCGAAGGCGGGUUGCUGGGCCGACACUGACGCUGAUGCGCGAAAGCCAGGGGAGCGAACGGG
rnacentral:rRNA from 1 species